AAUCCGUUCCAAGUGCCUUACUUGUUCUAGCCCACUGCGUUCUCCUGGACUCAGUGAGGACACGUGCAGACAUUCUGAUGACCAGGGAGAAAGAGAUGGCGCAUUCCAGGUGAUGAGACAGCAGAGGUGUGGAGGGUUCACUUCCCGAGUGAAGAGAUCUGUGUCCACAUGGGACCAUUUUUACA